CAGUCGCCGCGGGAAAACGGAGGGUGCAAGCGUUAAUCGGAAUUACUGGGCGUAAAGCGUGCGUAGGCGGUUCGUUAAGUCUGUUGUGAAAGCCCCGGGCUCAACCUGGGAAUGGCAAUGGAUACUGGCGAGCUAGAGUGUGUCAGAGGAUGGUGGAAUUCCCGGUGUAGCGGUGAAAUGCGUAGAGAUCGGGAGGAACAUCAGUGGCGAAGGUGGCCAUCUGGGACAACACUGACGCUGAGGCACGAAAGCGUGGGGAGCAAGCAGGAUUAGAUACCCCUGUAGUCCCUGUCUCUUAUAA
rnacentral:rRNA from 1 species